GGAGGAGGAGGAGUUUGCUUGGCCGCCUCUUCCUCAGGGAUGCUCUGGGAAAGCUCCGGCACAAAGGAGCGGCGCGGCGGGCAGGAGCCAGCGGAACCGGCGCCCCCCGGCCCCAGCCCGGCCCCCCGGAGCAGAAUCCUCAUCAAGAAUAGGGCUCCUGCCAGGUAAAUGGAUUCUUGCCUGAUUUUCAAUGCUCCUGGGAGAUUUGUAGGCAAAAUGCUGUUUUACUAAAACAGCUAAAGCUGAUGAUCCUAGGCGGGGGUUAGAGGCGAGGCUGGGGCCAGCAGCCCCAGGGCACAGCCCAGCCCUUCCUUCCCCCCCACCCCGAAUUAACCUGGCAGAUGCUCUUCUUGCGGAGCCAUUUUCUCUCCCUCAUUGUCUCGCAGCCAGCCUUUUGUGUGUGCGGGUAAGUCCUGCCCUGGGAGCCAGGAGGAGCCCAGAAAUAAUCCGAUUUUCAGGCGUUGUGGGCUUGCAAGGAGCCUUUCACACCCUCACAUCUCCCCCUUCUACCGGGCUGCCCAGCCCCAGAGCUGCAGACAAAGGCAGCGGUGCCUGGCACCCCUGCAGCAGCACCAGAGCCCGGGCAGUGCCAGAGCCUGGGCAGUGCCAGAGCCUGGGCUCUGCUGGAUGGCAGCAAGGCUCGGGCAGCACUGGCAGGGCACAGGACCGGGGUGUCUGCCCACCCCGCUGACAUCUGGGGGCUCAGGGUGUGUGGAUGCCACAUCCCAGAGACCAUUCUUUAGGAUCUCUUGCCUGGUGUGCCCUCAUCUCCCUGCCCCUGCCCGCAGUGGAGCUUGUGCUCCUUCCCUCCCUCUCUCCUCACUCGAGGAGGGGGUUGAGCCCCAUUUAAUUCGGGUGUGCAGCCCCCCAAGGGCCACUGUAUGUGCCACCCACACGUGUGGCAGAGGCAGCUCAAGCUCACACCCAGGAUGAAUGUUGAGGUGAGUCCUGUCUGCACAAAAUGGUUUUUCCCUCCCUGUCCCCUGGGAUGUGCUCCAUGGCCAGGCCAGAGAGGCCACCCUGCCCCAGCACGGGCACCUCCCACUUGGGUCCAUCUGCCAGAUGCUCAUUCCUGCUGCUGGGCUGCAAAUGCUCCCCAGACCCGGUGCUGUCCCCACGGAGGGGACUGUCCUGCCAGCAGCGUGUGGUGACAAUGAGCAUGUGGUGACAAUGAGUGUGGUGACCAGCCGAGCCAUGGGAAGCAGGAGUGGCUCAGUGGUUGAACUGCAGAGUCAUCACGGCCCCGUUCCCCCGGGACCUGCUGCUGUCCCUGUUUGCCCAGGCAGGCAGGGCAGGUCACAGACAUGGGCUGGCUGCUGGCACCGGCCACGUGUCCCCAAAUCCCCGAGGAGAUGGAGCAGCACCCACCACAACGUGGCUGUGACCCAGUUUAACCACUGCAACCGCAGGGUCCCAGUGAUGCAGCUUUACCCCCCGGCAGGGACAGGGGCAGAGGUGGCAGCAGAAGGGACACUGGCAGUGCCAAUCAGUCCCUGCCUCCACUGCAGGGGUUACAGCAACGAGCAGGGACAGUCUGGGGCAUUGCCACCAUUUCUGGUGUGGUGGUUCCCAUACCCCGCUGUGCCUGGUUCAGCUCCUUCACCCUGCAAGGGGACAGGGACAGGAAGGUCUGUGCCCAAACCUCCUGCCAGGCUCCUGCCAGCUCGGCUGGGCUGUGCCUGAGGACGGGGCCCUGUUUCUCCCCCUUGCUGCGUUGGUUGUUUCUCUUGCAGCUGCUAAUGACUGACCUGAGGUCUGUUCACACAGUCCCCUCGCAGAGCCUCGUGGAGCAGGGGACAUUGCACAGCACUCCUGCAGCUGCUGAGCACAGUGCCACCACCCCAGGAGCACGGCCCAGCUCCUGCCUGGCCAGACUGACCGUGUCCAGGAGCUGCCAUCACAACCAGCACAUGAUGCCAGAGCCGGGCUGGCCCCAGCAGAGCACCCUGGUGCCCAGUGCCAUGGCGUGGAGCCACCAGCCCGGCCACUGCGGGGGACACAGCCCGGGAGACUGCAGUGGGGACACCUGAGGACACAGGGCUGUGCAUGCACGCUGUUUUCUGCAAGGUGCUGGGCUGUCCUUGCCUCCCACUGCUCCCCCAGACCUGUCUCCUUCCCUGGGCACAGAGGAGGGAGAAGGAAAAGGGAGUGGGGACAGAGCUGUGCCAGCUCCUCAUGGUGACACCAUGGCCAGAGCCCAAAGGGGCUCUGCUUGUCCCCACUGAUCCUGCCCUUCCCUCUGGCUGUUGGUGAAGUCCUGGAGCUUUCUGAAACCCCUGGUGGUGUGUGGAGCAUCCUGGAACUUGGAGAGGAGCAUGGGCAGCGAAUCCUCCUGCCAUGGCCUCUGCAGUGCCCUGGAAGCAGGUGGGACACGUCCUGGCCAAGCAGCCAGCCGGGCCCGUGUCCCCACACAGGCAGGACAGGGGGGCGGGGGGCUGGGGGCAGACACAGCUCCUGGCAGGGGCUACAGCCUUGAAGUCCAAACUAGAAAAGCGUCCUCCUGGGGACCAGAGAGGCUCAUGCUGUGGGAGGAGGUGACCCAGAGGGACACAGGGCAGAGGCUUUCCUGGGUGCCCCAUCCCAGCCCUGUUUUUUGGGUCACAGUGCUCCUGCAACCCUUGGAGCACUGCUCAGCCCCAUGGGGAGGCAGCUUCUGAUGGGGAGGGGGUAAGCUGUGGGUCACCUUUCCUCUGGGUCUCCUGCUCCCUGCACGUGCAGUGGGAGCUUGCUGCAGUCCUGGAGCAGCUGUCCUGGCCUGUGCUGGAGCCUGACCCCAAACACUGCCAGUGAUUCUCUCACCCCCUCCUCCUCUGCUUCUCCCAGCUCCUUUAGAGUCCUUUCGGCACUGCUGGGCCUGUGUCCUCCAUGCCUCUGUCUCAUCUCACCUUUCCCAGCCCAGGGGUGGUCAGUACCUGUUGUGAGGUGCCUCUGGUACCUCCCUGGCAGGAAUCAGAGGAGCAGAUGCCUGCUGAACAUUUCAUCCCGGGACAGCUGAACUGGCUGAACCCUCCGCUAACACCUUCCCAAAUGUCACAGCCCAAAAAUGCCUCCUGCUCUUGUGAGCCAGAGCCCUGCUGCUGACGGGCCUGGCUCUGCAUGCUGCCAGUAUUAACCUACUAACCUGCUGGGACCCCUGUGCCCUCCCCGGGGCCACCACGGCCCCUGGCACACGGACUAACCCACUAACCAGCCCAGCGCAUGCCCUACUAACCCACAGCAGCCCUGCCUCGUGCCCACUAACCACGGCAGCAGCGCUGCCUUUAAAGGGGAACAGAAAAGCUGGAAAAGGGCUUUGGAAGUGCCAGGUGGCAGUGCCAGGCUGCACAGGCAGGGACAGGCAGGGGCAGCCCUGGCUGAGGGCAGGAGAGUGGAUUUGGCUGCCCAGCACUGGGCAGGAGUGGUGCUGGGCUGCUCCUGCUCGUGCAGAGAGCCCCUGCCCUGGGCAGGAGAGGGGAGUGCUGGUCCCUGGGCAGGAGAGGGGACUGCUGGUCCCUGAGCAGGAGAGGGGAGCAGCAGCCCCUGAUCUGAGCAGGAGAGGGGAGUGCUGAUCCCUGGGCAGGAGAGGGGAGUGCUGGUCCCUGGGCAGGAGAGGGGAGUGCUGGUCCCUGGGCAGGAGAGGGGAGCAGCAGCCCCCGCCCCAGGCAGCCCUCGGCAGCACAAGCAGAGGGUUUCUCCCCACACGCCCUGCCCAGCUCUGCCUGUGGAGCCUGUUGCUGACUAGGAGCAUAAAACGGUUUUAUCAGCAGAAGCUUUUCAGUUCCUUUUUAAGCCGGUAGAUCUCUGUUACUAACACAUUCCUGAACUGAAUUAAACAAACUAACCGUU